rnacentral:lncRNA from 1 species
AAAGAAUAGAUGGACUCUGGAAACACCAGGAAACUGUUUUAUCUGCCUUGAGAGUCGUGUCAUAAGAAGAAUAAGGUGUCUUUGUCCUCCACUCAACCUCUUGGCUCUUGUUUCUUGCAUCCUUGUCCACUUGUACCAUCACCCACCCUCAUGGCUAUUGUUACAGCCAGUUUUGGGAAUGACUCUGCUUUCGUUCGUUCACCAUAUUCUCCAGACUCCUGUGUACAUAUGCCAAUGGUGCUUUGCCACACACACGGUUCUUUGGGGGGAGGAUUUAUUUAGUUAUUAUCCUUUAAACUGUUUUUUCUUUAUUCUUGAGAAUUUCAUACAUCUAUACAAUGAAAAAUUUACUGUUCCCCUUCCCCAUCCUCUU